AUCCAGCUGAGGAGUCCCAAAUAGGAUUAAACACACGUCCUGGAU
rfam:Schistosoma margrebowiei strain Zambia genome assembly, scaffold: SMRZ_contig0004190